UGUCAGGUCUGAAAACCAAAAGUGAAAAAAAAAGGAAACUGAUUUCUUGUAUCAAGGGAGGGAGAAAAAAGCAGCAACACAUCAAAGCAAAAGCACAGCACAAAGGGGAAAACUACACCGUGUGGACUAGAUGGUGACUCAGUGGUGGACUCGGUGCACCCAGCCGCCCCUGCCCUGAGCCCUCCACUCUGCUCUGUAUUUCAAGACAGGAACACCUCCGGUGGAUUCUGGCUCCUCGAACUGAAUCUGUGCCGUGGUGGAGAAGGGUCUCACCUCACUGAUGGAUGGAGCUGAUGGCACCUCUGGUAAAGGAAGGAAAUGCAGUGUGAUUGCAACAAAAAAUGUAGCUGGCUGAUGGACUCCGGAAGAUCUUGAUGUUGGUAGUGUUUGAGUUGGGGAGCUGCAGUCCAUCUCUCAGCCAUAUAAUAGAUACAUCACUGGGAUGAGCCAUGACCUCACAGCUGAUAUUAACA